GUGACAACCAGAGCUCAGGCUCUGUGAGCUGGGCCCAGGGUGAGCUGAGCAGAGAUCCCAGCAGGAUGUUCAGACUCCCUGAGCUGGGCCCAGGCUGAGCUGAGCAGCGAUCCCAGCAGGAUGCUCCGAGCGGAGCUUCCCCUGCUCCUGACCCUCGGUGUGUCCUGGCUCUUCCCCCGGGACAGUGGCUCUUCCUGCCCUCCCUCCUGGGCCACCCUGGUGUGGGAUGUGCCUCCCCCGCUGCUGGAGCAGGAGGGCACUGCCAGGGGGGGCAUCACCACCCCACAGGUGGUUUUUUGGAGCACCUCAGCCCUGUGCCUGCUGCUCCUGGGGUAUUACCUUGGGCGCCUCCUUGCCAGAAAAGCCAGGAGACCCUGGAGAAAGGUGAGACCCUCAGACAUCACCUGCCGGGACGGUUCCUGCUGCAAGUCCUACUGGCUGAUGCGCCGGCUCAAGGAGGAUCCCGAGCUGAUGAAGCGCUUCCGGAAGCACCUGAGCAACUGCAGGACAUUUGCCCUGGACAAAAUUCAGGUUCCUUUCAACCCAAACGGCUCUGUGAUUCCCCAGGCAAGGGAACAAGAAAAAGUGGGAAAACUUGGAAGAGGAGAUGACAGACAUUCCCAGCUCCAGCAGGGUUCUCGGGAAGGCAGAACACUGCAGGGGUCAGAAUGAGUUGUGCUGUCCCUUUUCCUUGGGCCACCUUGGACAAUAAAUGUUUUAGAUGCAA